GGGCAAGAUGUCACCAGAAUCAGCAUGAACUUUGACAUUGAUGUCCAAAGGGGACACAAAAGAAAAGACAUUGACACAGUCAAACUGAUGCAGCAAAUCAAAAAUAUACUUAUGCUGAUUAAGGAGCAUCCCACCAGGAACAACUGACAUCUCAAGGCCCAAAAAUAAUGCAAAGAUCCCAAAUCUUUGAUUUUAAACUGAUCAUCCAGAAACAGUUUUAGAG
rnacentral:lncRNA from 1 species